GUUUGGUUUUGUCGCGACGCUCGGCUCGCCUUGUAGUUAUUCCCGUUCCUCGUGCCGCUCUACUAUGAUCGUAUUCUUACACUGUGUAACGCUCUGAUAAUAAUACGUUGUAGUAUUCGGUAUUAUUAAGUAAAAGAAAUCGAAGGUAACAAUCAUUCGUGAAAGUAAUUUUACGUAGAUUUUUAGGUUAUGAAUAAAUAUUAUUGUUUACCAUCUCAGACCAAGUUUAUGCUCAGACCGAAAAUGGAUGUCUUGGGCAUGUUUAGUGCAAAUGGCACGUUCGAAAGAAAAAUGUUGAGACCUCCGACAAGCCGGAGUCACGUACCAAAGGAUAUGUCUUUGUUAGACGCACAGUUAAAUACAACUGCAAAAACUAUAAAGAAAGGAACAGAUUACGUUGUAGAAUAUGUGGAAAAAGAGGAAAAGGAGCUUUUAGAGUUGGCAAAGUAUUGCAAAGUAGGAAAUGAGAAUAAUUUCGAAGCAGUAUCGCAAGGUACGGUUUCCAUGCAAAAUGAAAAUAACGAAAAGGCAGUUAAGAUUUACGAGACCUAUAAUUUUAACAAUUGCCGAAAGACAAAUUUAACAAUUACUUCCGAAAGAGAUAGAAUAGUAUCUAUGAUCGAAACUAAUUCGGUCGUAGUUAUUCAAGGGCCGACGGGUUCCGGGAAGACUACGCAGGUACCACAGUUUAUUCUGGAUUCCUGCUAUAGACAAAGACUUCAUUGCAAUAUCAUAGUGACGCAGCCUAGACGUAUCGCUGCAAUCAGCAUCGCGAAACAAGUUAGUCGAGAAAGAAAUUGGCCAUUAGGUACCCUGGUCGGAUACCAAGUUGGUCUGAUAAAUCAUACGUGUGAAGAAACCCGUUUAAAUUAUUGCACUACCGGUGUACUUUUACAUAAAUUGAUUAAUUCGAAAAACAUGUUGGAUUAUACGCACAUCAUACUGGACGAGGUCCACGAGAGGGACCAAGAUAUGGAUUUCCUUCUGCUCGUUGUCCGAAAGUUAUUACGUACAAAUUCGAGUUCGGUAAAAGUUAUUCUAAUGUCCGCUACAUUCGAAGUGGAAAGAUUUGCCAAGUAUUUUUCUUCUCCCGUGAGAAACGAACUCGUACCUGCACCUAUUGUCGAUAUCCCAAAGAAGAAUUAUUUUAACGUAGUCGUAUAUUAUCUUUGCCAAAUGAGCGGAUUAGGUCCGUUACCCGAAGUCUCCGAUACGGAACCAACAGUUUCGAAAAGAAUGAUUGAAUUUUGUGUUAAUCUUAUAAAAAUUCUUGACGAUAUAGACAUGAAAGCCGACGAUGCGAAUGUUAAUUUGGACACAAACGUUUACGAAAGACACGUGAUUCUUGUAUUUUUACCUGGAAUUAAUGAAAUUGAAGAGACCUAUAAUUUAUUAACGCUACCAAGAUACGAAAAAACAAAAUGGAACAUAACGAUUUUGCAUUCAUUGAUUACAAACGAAGAACAACAACAAAUAUUUGUAAAACCACCGUGCGGUUAUCGUCGUAUUAUCUUAUCUACGAAUAUUGCUGAAAGUAGUAUCACCGUUCCGGACGUGAAAUAUGUAAUCGAUUUCUGUCUAACGAAACAACUUGUUGUAAAUCCGAACACUAAUAUCCAAUGCUUGGAGCUUAGAUGGGCAAGCAAAGUAAAUUGCGAACAAAGAGCAGGCCGUGCCGGUCGUGUAAUGGACGGCAGAGUGUACAGACUGGUGCCACAAUCAUUUUACGAGAGUGUGCUGCCCCGAGAAGUAUCUCCCGAAAUGUUGCGGGCACCGCUAUCAAAUCUGAUAUUACAAUCAAAAUUACUAGACAUGGGAGAACCCAAAGCCAUUUUAGCACUUUCUCUCGAUCCACCGGAUCUCGAAAAUUUGGAAAGUACAGUAUUGUUAUUAAAAGAAGCAGGCGCAUUGAUCGACAAGAGCAACGAAAUACAACGUCACGAUGGAGAACUAACAGAUCUUGGUCGGAUCAUGGCCAAUUUGCCAUUAGAUAUUCACGUAACAAAAUUAAUUAUGUUGGGUCAUGUGUUUAGCGUGUUGAAAGAUACGAUUAUUAUCGCAGCUAGUCUAACCGUAAAAGAUAUGUUCCACAGUUCCUUCAGACAGAAAUUAUUGUCAUAUAAUUAUAGAUUCACUUGGGCGAAUCGGUCUUGGAGCGAUUGCAUAGCUUUCCUGACCGUGUACAAGGUAUGGGUCGGCGAAAAGACCAGUCGAAGUAUAACCAGCGACGCUGCAGAAAAGAAAUGGGCGACGAAAAAUUUUUUACAGAUAAGAGUGUUACGCGAAAUCAAAGCUCUGGUGUCAGAAUUAACCAGUAGAUUGGAAAGACUGGGUAUACGAGAAAGUGCCGGUGUCAAUAAAGUUGUUUGGAAAGAAACGGAACGUUCGGUUGUUUUAAAAAUCGCAAUUGCCGGUGCAUUUUACCCGAACUACUUUAUCAAACAUGGACCCAAAGAAGAAGCCGAUGAACAGGUCGGAGUGAAAUUAUUAGGCGGUUUGGAUCCAUCCAACACCGUUUAUAUACAAGGAUGGCCUUUAAAACAACCUGGAAUUUUGUACGCUCGCAGAAUCGAAAAUAUUUUUAAAAAAAAUGUGACAUCGAACGUUGAAAAAAUCAAAGUAUCUUUCGAUUCUUCCUCUCGAAUAUACGUUCAGUUUAUCGAAAGAAGAAUGUCGAAAAACGAAAACGACGAUACAUUGAGAAAUAUAUCGUCGUCCGUUUACAAAGCCAUUAGAAUGAGACAGUGUAAUAUUCCCUUAGAGAUACCUAUUUUGAACGAUCACGUAGCCGUUCGACGAGUCGAGGAAAUGAACUUGAAGGAAACAUCGUUUUUCACUCGUGAAAAGUUUAUGAAAGACAGCAUCAGACCUCGGUUACCGGCUUUACGAGAGUCUCGCAUUCCUGUAGCAGUUCAAAACGUUAUCGAUCCUGGCUGUUUUUGGAUACAAAUUCGUGACUAUAAAGUAAAAGGAGAACUAGAGAGAAUACAAUCGGUUAUCAAAAGAACGAAACACUACUUGCAUCAACUCGCUACAGCUCCAGAAAUCGGUUCGCUUGUAAUCGCACCGUACGAACAAAAUAAUUGCACGCUAUAUUGUCGCGCGGUAGUGAAAAGUCAUAUAACAUAUCCAGAAAUAUUGGUACAAGUAUUUUGUAUCGAUUAUGGUUAUUCGACCGAAUGUCGGUUACGCGAUUUAAUACGUCUCGACUGUGACAGUGAUAUCGCGAAUAUUCCGGCACUAGCCAUCGAAUGCGUAUUGGCGAACGUCCGAUCGUCCGUAGCGUACAAUUCGCGCGACAGUUGGCCCGCAACCGCGUGCGAUUUCUUCCAGACGUUGAUCAAUAAGCCUGGUUUACUAUUCGGUGAUAUCUAUUCCGUCGUUAACGGUGUCGUCGCAUUGGAAUUAAUCCAUAGACGCAAAGACGAAGAAGAAGAGAUCAUUAUAAAUAAAUGUCUGAUCGACGAAGGGUUUGCGAAAAAUAAAGAAGAAAACUGUUUUUCACAGUUUAAUCAUAAUUUACGAUCGCAAGAAUCGAACUUGUCGGACGAACAGUGUCGGCAGUAUGAAAAAUUACAACACGAUAUACCGGACGUUUACCCGGAACCCCCCGAUAGUUCCGAAUGUUAUACGACGAUAAAUUUGCGAGGGCCAUUUUCACCGUUGGAAAUUGAAUUGAAACAUCUCGUUACGGCCGCGAGAGACAAGACAGCACGCAUAGCUAUAAAUUCUGUGAACUCUGUUCUGCUGGACACCGAUUUGGAAGAUCCAAAUCAGCGACUUUUAGUAGCAACAUCGGUUUCCCAGAAUGUACACGGCAAUAAAUUGACGCUAUACAAUACAACGUUAAUGCCGCGUCUUCCAGGCUUGACAGCCUUGAUCACAUUGAUUUUCACUCCGUGUAUGGAAUUACGACGCAACACAUUAGGAACUCGUUACGUUGGUGCUUUAUGCGGUUUGGGAUUCGAUCCUGUUACAAAAGAAAGCAUUUUCCCGGAGCAUGACAUACAACUUGAAUUCGACGCCGAAAUUACCAUCGAGGAUCUACAAUACGUGAACAGACUACGUCAUUGGAUGAAUAUCGGAAUGCAAAUUAAUCAUCACCCUGAAAUCAACGAUAACAGGGAAGAAAACAGUAUCUGUCAAAAUAGAAUAAAAGAUGCGUUAUUAAAACUGAUCGAAAAGCCAAGAAAAUCUCAAAGCUCGGAAUUAAUUCAGAAUUUUAAUAGAUGGAAUCUAUACGACGAGUCUUUGCAUUUACUACCUGGUAGACUGUUUAUGAUCGCUAAUAACAUAUAUAGGUUACACAACGCAUUGGAAUUGGAAGAAAUGACUCCGGAGCUAGAAAUGACGGAACACCUGAGAACCUUACGAUCUUUAAUAACCGAAGACCCAAGAAAACCUGAGAAUGCUAACAUUCCUUGCAAACUGUGCGAAAUUACGUUAAACAAUAUUGUCGAGCUUCGCGGUCAUUUGUUCACAGCGCAACAUAAGGAAAAAGAAGAACGAUUAAGAAUUCAAGUUUGAAACGAUACGAUACGACGAUGCAGUACGACGCGUACAGUGCCAAAAUAUCUUGUUCCCGGUUGAGUGUACAACAAUCGUCCAGGAAUGUUAGCACCAGAAGCACUGACGUGCAGAGUAAAAAUUGGAAGCAGAGUAUUGAUUAUUUUCUGUAAAAAAAAAAAAAAAAAAAAAAAAUAAAAAACAAGCAACGAUGAAAUUAACAGCGGGGAAAAAUGCGUACGCUAUCGAUAACGGCUCUUGAAAGCACAAG